GGAAGAAGUUGUUGUGAGCAGAGAACCUGUCUGUGCAUUCUGGACAAGCUGUCCUUACUGUCACAUACAGAGGAGGGAACUUAAAGGUGUCUCCGUGUGGUUCUGUAACCCAGCUGUCCCUGCACAUGGACACGCUGACUAAAGUCAUGCCCAUAAAUAGAUCCUGCCACACACAUAUGAGGAUGAUUUGCAUAGGAAACAAGAAGUAGGUGCCAUGAAGGCUCACUAGGAGUUCACCCUGGAGUUGCUUGUAUAAGGAAUGGAAAUUGCUGCUACAGGCCAAGUGCAAAAUAAAAGUAUAUCACCAAGAGCGCAGUGCUGCACUUGCCAUUCUUUGUUUUUGCUCACUGACAUCUAUACUGAGAGCUUUUU
ensembl:lncRNA